rnacentral:rRNA from 1 species
AUUGAACGCUGGCGGCAGGCCUAACACAUGCAAGUCGAGCGAGCGGCGGACGGGUGUGUAAUGUAUGGGGACUGCCCGCUAGAGGGGGAUAACUACUGGAAACGGUGGCUCAUACAGCGUACUGUCGGAUAACCCAUAUGGGAGUAGCUAGUAGGUAAGGUAAUGGCUUACCUAGGCGACGAUCCCUCGAGGGUCUGAGAGGGUGAUCAGCCACACGGGGACUGAGACACGGCCCAGACUCCUACGGAGGCAGCAGUGGGGAAUAUUGCACAAUGGGCGCAAGCCUGAUGCAGCCAUGCCGCGUGUAUGAAGAAGGCCCUAGGGUUGUAAAGUACUUUCAGUCGGGAGGCGUUACCGACAGAAGAAGCACCGGCUAACUCCGUGCCAGCAGCCGCGGUAAUAC